ACUAACAGCUCUUGCUAACUCCUGUUCCAGGCUGUUUAUCUGGGCCUCCAAGUACCCUGCUUGCGCCUGGAGGUCUCUCACCCCCAGGUCCUGCUCAAAGCUGUGCACUUGGGCCCCCAGGCAUGCGGCUUGCUCCGGAAGGUCCCUUACCUGUGGCACUGAGCAUGUACUUCCUGCAGUGCAGUUAGAAAUGCCCAUCCGACUCUGCUUGCAAAGGCACAGCUGCUUAAAGACUGUUACCGGAAAGGAAUCCUGAUCCAGACGCCAAGAGAGGGUUCUUGGACUCAUGCAAGAAAGACUUCAGAAUACGAGUUUUGAAUUUUUGAAUUGCUGUUAAAACUUUCAUCAUGAACACUGAAGUGAGUGAAAAGAGACUUUUGCAGUCAUUUUUUUGCUGGCUGCAGAUGACAGUGACACCCUGGGAGUUGAGAAAUGCUUGUAAGAUGGAAGGAGGCUGUGUCCCUGAAUGAUCACCUGGAAGAGAGCCACCUUAGCCAAUGAAACUCCUGCUAUGAAUGUUUGCUGAGCAAGAAAUAUACUUACUGCUUUAUAUGCCUUUGAAGCUAUAGGUUCAUAUUGUUACCACAAUUUAAAGUGCUAUAAUAAAAAGAGUUCAGGAAGCAGGCACAUGGAAGCAAUAAGAGCAACAAACAUUUACACAGUUCUCAGGUCCCUGGACCAUGAAGGGCCACAUCCAAGGAGCUACCCCAGGAGGCCUCUCAUUUGCAUUUGUCCCCGCUAAUGCAGGACAGAGAUCAUGGAAGUUGGGCCCGACUGGAUGAGAUUUGGGGGUCUUUGGAAGUGGAGAAUGUGUUUGCCCUGGGGAAGAGAGGUGAUGUCUAGGAGACCUCUUCACUCAGGGCAAGCUCUAUGACCUGCUUUGACUCCAGAAUGUGGUAGAAGUGGCAUCACAUAAAUUGCAGAGCCUAGGCUUCAAGAGACCUUGCAACUUGCCUCUCACUGACUUGAAGUGCUCCCAUCAGAGCAUCUUGUAAGGAGCAGGUGGAGCAUGUGGACAAGCCAUCCCCACCAGCCCCUGAGACAUGUGAGAGAGGCCAGAACAGGCCAUCCGGACCCCACUGUGCUGGUGGAUGAGACAGCAGAAGGAAUAUCAACCUACCAACAGAAUCCUGAGAAAUGCUCACUCUUACUUCAAGCUGCUGCAUUUUGAUGUUAUGAAACCAUAAAUAACUUAUGAAGUCAUCUUUGCUGACUUAAAGUUUUCCAUAACUUUAUUAUAACAUAUCAAAAUUAUGAAAAAUGUGAAAAGUAGAAAACUGAUGAAUUUUGCUUCUUCAUAUGGUCUUUAAGAAUCUCAAAGGCACUGAAGUUUUUUAUCUUUUCUGUCUUAGAAUAAAAAACCUUGAAUGAAAA
rnacentral:lncRNA from 1 species